rnacentral:lncRNA from 1 species
GCCAGAGAGGCUAGAACGAAGCAAGCAGAGGAAGGUGGGAUAAGCUGGCUUGCUGAGUUUUCUAACUUUCAUCUUUUUCCCAUGCUGGAUGCUUCCUGCCGUUGGACAUCAGACUCCAGGUUCUUCGGGGACUCUUGGACUUACACCAGCGUUUUGCCGGGGGCUCUGUCGGCUGCACUGUCAGUUUCCCUACUUUUGAGACUUUUGGACUCGGACUGAGCCACUACUGGCUUCCUUCUUUCUCAGCUUGGAGACAGCCUAUCAUGGACUUCGCAUUGUGAUCGUAUGGUGCUGUAAUGGAAAUCCUUUAUUUGUGACUCUUGUGGCCUUGUGUGAGAGUUUUUUCCUAAGAUGGACUACAGAGAACCAGAGAGAGUUUUAAAUGUCUUAUUACCAGAACUUAAAGACCUUUAAGCAGAUGCAUGUAAAAAAAUGAUGGUACUUGACAGUCCAGCUGCCACAAUGCUUUCAAAAAACUGGAUUUCUACUGGAUUCUUCAAGAUUACAAAGUUACAGCCUUAACAAACAGGUUGUGGACAAGGAAGACAAAGAGUGCAUGAACUGCCUGGUGAUGAAAGCCAUGGUGCAGUGGCGGCGGCGACUGCAACAAGACCCAGGCAGGAAAGGCGCGUGUGGUGUUGGGACCAGCAGACGGGCAGCCUCUGAGGCCAUUUUCUAUUUUUGAAUAAAAUGAUACUACUAAUUUUAUCUGCAAAUAAGUUUUGUUCAAAUGACAAUGUAUGCUCAACAUUAAUAUUUUUCUAAUUUUUUAAAUUGAUGAUUGUU